GUAUUAUAGGUGGUGUAUUAUAGGUGGUGUAUUAUAGGUGGUGUAUUAUAGGAAGUGUAUUAUGGGAGGUGUAUUAUAGGUGGUGUAUUAUAGGAAGUGUAUUAUAGGAGGUGUAUUAUAUGUGGUGUAUUAUAGGUGGUGUAUUAUGGGAGGUGUAUUAUAGGUGGUGUAUUAUGGGAGGUGUAUUAUAGGAAGUGUAUUAUAGGAGGUGUAUUAUAGGUGGUGUAUUAUAGGUGGUGUAUUAUGGGAGGUGUAUUAUAGGUGGUGUAUUAUAGGUGGUGUAUUAUAGGUGGUGUAUUAUUGGAGGUGUAUUAUAUGUGGUGUAUUAUAGGUGGUGUAUUAUAGGAAGUGUAUUAUAGGUGGUGUAUUAUAGGUGGUGUAUUAUAGGAGGUGUAUUAUAGGUGGUGUAUUAUAGGAGGUGUAUUAUGGGAGGUGUAUUAAAGGAGGUGUAUUAUAGGAGGUGUAUUAUGGGAGGUGUAUUAUAGGUGGUGUAUUAUAGGAAGUGUAUUAUAGGAGGUGUAUUAUAGGUGGUGUAUUAUAGGUGGUGUAUUAUGGGAGGUGUAUUAAAGGAGGUGUAUUAUAGGUGGUGUAUUAUAGGAAGUGUAUUAUAGGUGGUGUAUUAUUGGAGGUGUAUUAUAGGUGGUGUAUUAUAGGAGGUGUAUUAUAGGUGGUAUAUUAUAGGAGGU